GACGAACCGUCCAAACGUUAUUCGGAAUCACUGGGCUUACAGAGUUCGUAGGCGGUCCAGAAAGUUGGGUGUGAAAUCCCUCGGCUUAACCGAGGAACUGCGCUUGAAAACUACUGGACUCGAGGGAGAUAGAGGAAAGCGGAACUGAUGGUGGAGCGGUGAAAUGCGUUGAUAUCAUCAGGAACACCGGUGGCGAAGGCGGUUCUCUGGGCCUUACCUGACGCUGAGGAGCGAAAGCAUGGGAGCAAAC
rnacentral:rRNA from 1 species